AAUAUUUUCGGUAUUUCGGAAUUUCCCGAAACCGAACAUCAUCAGAAUCCAAAUCGUCUUAGAUUAAUAUUGAAAUCAUCUGAACCUGCAUUAAAAAUCCAAAUUGAAAUCAGAGACAUAGUGAUAGUGAAUCAGUGAAAGAUUUAUGGUCGAGAAAGAAGCAGAGUGAAGAGAGGGACCUCCUCCUGACCCGAGCCCCCAAUUCGAAACCCUAAGCCCCAAUUCAAAACCCUAACCUCAAUUCGAAAUCCCACACACACAGAGAAUCACUGGAGAGAAUCGGAGGUGGGGAUGAAGCCAUGAGGUGUGGUGGUGGCCGGAGUGGAGAUAGUUCGUCGGAGUCAGAUUGCUAGACGGUGGGUGGCUGCUAAGCUUCAAAUCCGAGAAAGAGAGGGAGAGUCUGAGACUGAGUGAAGGAAGAUGAAAGGCGAAAUGAAAUGAGAGAGAGUGAGUAGGGAUGUUUGGCUUGGUUUUGGAUUGGGUGGAAUGAAAGGUUAGGUGGUUUCUGGGUUGUAGAGAGAGAGAGAGAGAGAGAAUACGAGAGAGAUGAGACAGAAAAAAUGAGAGGGAUAAAGGAUUAGGUAGGUUAUGAGUUGUAGAGAGAGACGAGACAAAAAUUAAGAGAGAGAUGAAGGGUUAGGUUAUGGGUUG
rnacentral:lncRNA from 1 species